rnacentral:rRNA from 1 species
AGUGGCGGACGGGUGAGUAACACGUGGGAACGUGCCUUUAGGUUCGGAAUAAGCCCGGGAAACUGGGUCUAAUACCGAAUGUGCCCUUCGGGGGAAAGAUUUAUCGCCUUUAGAGCGGCCCGCGUCUGAUUAGCUAGUUGGUGGUGUAAUGGACCACCAAGGCGACGAUCAGUAGCUGGUCUGAGAGGAUGACCAGCCACAUUGGGACUGAGACACGGCCCAAACUCCUACGGGAGGCAGCAGUGGGGAAUCUUGCGCAAUGGGCGAAAGCCUGACGCAGCCAUGCCGCGUGUAUGAUGAAGGUCUUAGGAUUGUAAAAUACUUUCACCGGUGAAGAUAAUGACUGUAGCCGGAGAAGAAGCCCCGGCUAACUUCGUGCCAGCAGCCGCGGUAAUACGAAGGGGGCUAGCGUUGCUCGGAAUUACUGGGCGUAAAGGGAGCGUAGGCGGACAUUUAAGUCAGGGGUGAAAUCCCAGAGCUCAACUCUGGAACUGCCUUUGAUACUGGAUGUCUUGAGUGUGAGAGAGGUAUGUGGAACUCCGAGUGUAGAGGUGAAAUUCGUAGAUAUUCGGAAGAACACCAGUGGCGAAGGCGACAUACUGGCUCAUUACUGACGCUGAGGCUCGAAAGCGUGGGGAGCAAACAGGAUUAGAUACCCUGGUAGUCCACGCCGUAAACGAUGAUUGCUAGUUGUCGGGAU